AGAGUUUGAUCCUGGCUCAGGAUGAACGCUAGCUACAGGCUUAACACAUGCAAGUCGAGGGGCAGCAUGGUCUUAGCUUGCUAAGGCCGAUGGCGACCGGCGCACGGGUGAGUAACACGUAUCCAACCUGCCGUCUACUCUUGGACAGCCUUCUGAAAGGAAGAUUAAUACAAGAUGGCAUCAUGAGUCCGCAUGUUCACAUGAUUAAAGGUAUUCCGGUAGACGAUGGGGAUGCGUUCCAUUAGAUAGUAGGCGGGGUAACGGCCCACCUAGUCUUCGAUGGAUAGGGGUUCUGAGAGGAAGGUCCCCCACAUUGGAACUGAGACACGGUCCAAACUCCUACGGGAGGCAGCAGUGAGGAAUAUUGGUCAAUGGGCGAGAGCCUGAACCAGCCAAGUAGUGUGAAGGAUGACUGCCCUAUGGGUUGUAAACUUCUUUUAUAAAGGAAUAAAGUCGGGUAUGCAUACCCGUUUGAAUGUACUUUAUGAAUAAGGAUCGGCUAACUCCGUGCCAGCAGCCGCGGUAAUACGGAGGAUCCGAGCGUUAUCCGGAUUUAUUGGGUUUAAAGGGAGCGUAGAUGGAUGCUUAAGUCAGUUGUGAAAGUUUGCGGCUCAACCGUAAAAUUGCAGUUGAUACUGGAUAUCUUGAGUGCAGUUGAGGCAGGCGGAAUUCGUGGUGUAGCGGUGAAAUGCUUAGAUAUCACGAAGAACUCCGAUUGCGAAGGCAGCCUGCUAAGCUGCAACUGACAUUGAGGCUCGAAAGUGUGGGUAUCAAACAGGAUUAGAUACCCUGGUAGUCCACACGGUAAACGAUGAAUACUCGCUGUUUGCGAUAUACAGCAAGCGGCCAAGCGAAAGCGUUAAGUAUUCCACCUGGGGAGUACGCCGGCAACGGUGAAACUCAAAGGAAUUGACGGGGGCCCGCACAAGCGGAGGAACAUGUGGUUUAAUUCGAUGAUACGCGAGGAACCUUACCCGGGCUUAAAUUGCAGAUGAAUUACGGUGAAAGCCGUAAGCCGCAAGGCAUCUGUGAAGGUGCUGCAUGGUUGUCGUCAGCUCGUGCCGUGAGGUGUCGGCUUAAGUGCCAUAACGAGCGCAACCCUUGUUGUCAGUUACUAACAGGUCAUGCUGAGGACUCUGACAAGACUGCCAUCGUAAGAUGUGAGGAAGGUGGGGAUGACGUCAAAUCAGCACGGCCCUUACGUCCGGGGCUACACACGUGUUACAAUGGGGGGUACAGAGGGCCGCUACCACGCGAGUGGAUGCCAAUCCCAAAAACCUCUCUCAGUUCGGACUGGAGUCUUCAACCCGACUCCACGAAGCUGGAUUCGCUAGUAAUCGCGCAUCAGCCACGGCGCGGUGAAUACGUUCCCGGGCCUUGUACACACCGCCCGUCAAGCCAUGGGAGCCGGGGGUACCUGAAGUGCGUAACCGCGAGGAGCGCCCUAGGGUAAAACUGGUGACUGGGGCUAAGUCGUAACAAGGUA
rnacentral:rRNA from 1 species